AGCAGUGGGGAAUAUUGGACAAUGGGCGAAAGCCUGAUCCAGCCAUGCCGCGUGUGUGAAGAAGGUCUUCGGAUUGUAAAGCACUUUAAGUUGGGAGGAAGGGCAGUAAAUUAAUACUUUGCUGUUUUGACGUUACCGACAGAAUAAGCACCGGCUAACUCUGUGCCAGCAGCCGCGGUAAUACAGAGGGUGCAAGCGUUAAUCGGAAUUACUGGGCGUAAAGCGCGCGUAGGUGGUUCGUUAAGUUGGAUGUGAAAUCCCCGGGCUCAACCUGGGAACUGCAUUCAAAACUGACGAGCUAGAGUAUGGUAGAGGAUGGUGGAAUUUCCUGUGUAGCGGUGAAAUGCGUAGAUAUAGGAAGGAACACCAGUGGCGAAGGCGACCACCUGGACUGAUACUGACACUGAGG
rnacentral:rRNA from 1 species